rnacentral:rRNA from 1 species
GGGGAUAACAACUGGAAACAGCUGCUAACACCGCAUAAGCGCACGGUACCGCAUGGUACCGAGUGAAAAUCUCCGGAGGUAUACGAUGGGCCCGCGUCUGAUUAGCCAGUUGGUGGGGUAACGGCCUACCAAAGCGACGAUCAGUAGCCGGCCUGAGAGGGUGGACGGCCACAUUGGGACUGAGACACGGCCCAAACUCCUACGGGAGGCAGCAGUGGGGGAUAUUGCACAAUGGGGGAAACCCUGAUGCAGCGACGCCGCGUGAGUGAAGAAGCAAUUCGUUGCGUAAAGCUCUAUCAGCAGGGAAGAAGAAAUGACGGUACCUGAAUAAGAAGCCCCGGCUAACUACGUGCCGGCAGCCGCGGUAAUACGUAGGGGGCAAGCGUUAUCCGGAUUUACUGGGUGUAAAGGGAGCGUAGACGGCAGUGCAAGUCCGAUGUGAAAACCCGGGGCUCAACCCUGGGAGUGCAUUGGAAACUGUACGGCUGGAGUGCAGGAGAGGUAAGCGGAAUUCCUGGUGUAGCGGUGAAAUGCGUAGAUAUCAGGAGGAACACCAGUGGCGAAGGCGGCUUACUGGACUGUAACUGACGUUGAGGCUCGAAAGCGUGGGGAGCAAACAGGAUUAGAUACCCUGGUAGUCCACGCCGUAAACGAUGAA